UUAAGUUCAGCGGGUAGUCCUACCUGAUUUGAGGUCAAAUUGUCAAUGUAUAGAUUGUCUCUUGAAGAGACGGUUAUAAGCAGGUCCCCACAAGUCUUGUAUCAGAGUCAGGCGGCGUAGAUAAUUAUCACACCAAGUGACCAUCCACAAAGGAAUCCACUAAUGCAUUUAAAGGGAGCAGACCAUCCAACUGAAGGAAG
rnacentral:misc_RNA from 1 species